rnacentral:rRNA from 1 species
CCAAUAGCGUAUAUUAAAGUUGUUGCAGUUAAAAAGCUCGUAGUUGAAUUUCGGGGCCAGUAGGUCGGUCGUGCCACUGGUAUGAACUGGUCUCACUGGUCCCUCCCUCUUGAAGAACCGUGAUGCCAUUAAUUUGGUGUUGCGGGGAAACAGGACUGUUACUUUGAAAAAAUUAGAGUGCUUAAAGCAGGCUUACGCUUGAAUACAUUAGCAUGGAAUAACGAAAUAGGACGAUCGAUUCUAUUUUGUUGGUUUCUAGGAUCGACGUAAUGAUUAAUAGGGAUAGUUGGGGGCAUUAGUAUUCAAUUGUCAGAGGUGAAAUUCUUGGAUUUAUUGAAGACUAACUACUGCGAAAGCAUUUGCCAAGGAUGUUUUCAUUAAUCAAGAACGAAAGUUAGGGGAUCGAAGACGAUCAGAUACCGUCGUAGUCUUAACCAUAAACUAUGCCGACUAGGGAUCGGAUGAAGUUAAUUUUUUAAUGACUCAUUCGGCGCCUUACG